rnacentral:pre_miRNA from 1 species
AAAAGGAGGGGAGAAAAGGGAUUUGUCCACGGAAGACACGGAAUUACACGGAAGAGAAGAAUGCUGAAUUGGUUGUGUUUGGGGCGAAGUCUUGCAUACAAAAGAUCCGCAGCAAGGCUUCCGAUCCCUUCCGUGAAGUUCCGUGUCUUCCGUGGACAAUCCUCUCUUCCUCCCCUUUUCGCG